GAGUUUGAUCCUGGCUCAGAACGAACGCUGGCGGCGUGCCUAACACAUGCAAGUCGAACGUGAUCCAGAGCUUGCUCUGGUGAAAGUGGCGCACGGGUGAGUAACGCGUGGAUAACCUACCCUGGUAUCCGGGAUAACAUUCCGAAAGGGGUGCUAAUACCGGAUAAGCCCACGGGCUCUUUGGAGCUUGCGGGAAAAGGUGGCCUCUAUUUAUAAGCUACUGUAUCAGGAUGGGUCCGCGUACCAUUAGCUAGUUGGCGGUGUAACGGACCACCAAGGCGACGAUGGUUAGCUGGUCUGAGAGGAUGAUCAGCCACACUGGAACUGAGACACGGUCCAGACUCCUACGGGAGGCAGCAGUGGGGAAUUCUGCGCAAUGGGGGAAACCCUGACGCAGCAACGCCGCGUGAGUGAUGAAGGCCUUUGGGUCGUAAAGCUCUGUCAGAGGGGAAGAAAUGAUAUAGUGCUAAUACCACUUUAUCUUGACGGUACCCUCAAAGGAAGCACCGGCUAACUCCGUGCCAGCAGCCGCGGUAAUAC
rnacentral:rRNA from 1 species